rnacentral:tRNA from 1 species
GUCGGAGUGGCGGAACCUGGCAGACGCGCUGGACUCAGGAUCCAGUGGGCUUUCGCCCAUGCGGGUUCAAAUCCCGCCUCCGACACCU